rnacentral:rRNA from 1 species
GAUGAACGCUAGCGGCAGGCCUAAUACAUGCAAGUCGAACGGGUCGCAAGGCCAGUGGCCAACGGGUGCGUAACGCGUAAGCAACCUGCCUCAUACUGGGGGAUAGCCCGGCGAGAGAUGGGGUAAACCCGCACGGUCCCAUUUGAUCACCUGGAUUUAUGGGUAAACCUUGAUGGGUAGGAGAGGGGCUUGCGUCUGAGUAGUUAGUUGGCAGGGUAACGGCCUACCAAGACGAUGAGGAGUAGGGGUUAUGAGAGGAUUGGCCCCCACAUGGGUACUGAGAUACGGACCCAACUCCUACGGGAGGCAGCAGUAGGGAAUAUUGGGCAAUGGGCGCAAGCCUGACCCAGCCAUGCCGCGUGCAGGAUGAAGGCGCUCAGCGUUGUAAACUGCUUUUACUGGUGAAGAAAACUUGUCCUGCGGGAUGAAUUGACGGUAGCCAGGGAAUAAGCACCGGCUAACUCCGUGCCAGCAGCCGCCGUAA